rnacentral:lncRNA from 1 species
GAGCUUUGCAAAGACCUCAAGGCGUUCUCCAUCCUCUUUGGCUGCAUGUUUGACAGAUGCUUCUGACCCAUGGACCAAACCUGGUUCUGAGGCAUCCCAUAAUCCAAGGGUUUGUUUGGUUUUUUUUUAAAGUGCUGCAGCAGGAGGCAAUAUUGACUUUUGCAAAAUGUCCUCUGUAUUAAUUUGCAUUGAGUUUAAAAGUAAACCUGGAAGGCUGGUUAAUCUCUCAGGCCCAUUUUAAUUUGAGCUCUUGAAGUUUAGAGGUCAGGUCGGUGUGGUCUGCCUGCAUCACAUCUGGGCAGAGACUGUGCUGGCAGAAAAAGGAUAUGGGGAAAAUGUGCAUGUGGGGAGUUUCUGCCUGAUAAAGGGGAGGGGAGCAGCUGGCUGGAUGUUAAGACUAAUGGUAAGAUCAGGGGAAGAGAUUCCUAUCACUUCUCAGAUUGGUGUGACCAAAGCCAAGCUGGAGUGCUGGCUUUGGAGCAGAAGGACAAGGGUAAGCUCACCUCAGAGGGACUAACUGUGCUGAGGAGUGGAGGGAGUGCUGCCAUGGGCAGGGGAUGCAGGGGAUCUCACAGGGCAAAGAGAAAUAAGAAGGGAGCUCUGCAGGCAGAGCAUGUGAGACCAGCUCUGGGCUACUGCCUUCUGGAGUGGCUUGACAGAGGGGCUGUGUUUGGGCAUGUGGGUUUGCUGCUGUACAGCCCCUGAAAUCACAUCCCACAUCCCGAGCAGCUGAGGUGGAGGUUGCCCUGUGCCCUGGUCCUUGUUGCUCAGCACAGGUUUGGUUGCAUGGGGACAUGGACAUGUCAUGUCAUGCCAGAACAGCGUGCAUCGCCCUCCCAGCCGAGCUCCUGCAGGGCCUGGGGUGGUAGCAGGUGCCUCGCAGAAAAGCCAGAUUGGAGCUACAGAUUUGUGUGUGAGUCACGCCGUGCUGUUGCAAUACUCACCUGGCCACGACCUCAGCGGAGCCCUGUCCCUGCAUGCAGGAGCUCUUUGGGGCUCAGUGAUUCAGCUGCAUCAGAGGACUUGUGCCUUUCCCCUGUGCCCAGCUGUGUGUAUCCGAGGAAGCAUUUCUGCCUGCUGGGGAGUGAAUCACCCAGGAGUGGCUCACCCAGCCCUGCCUGCUGCGAGCAGGAAGGGGAAUGGAAGAGAGGAGGAGUGUGGGCAGCCUUCCUCCUGCUCUUGGGACUGGGGCUGCUUUGCAAUGCCACGCACGGGUUCUGCAGAGGGACAAGAAUCAAGUGGGGAUGGAGGCCUUGGCUGCUCCUGCACAGCCCUGCAAGGCACUCUGUGGCUGUCACCCUGAGCAGAGAGCAGCCAGCCUGCCCUGUGCAUGGGCUGCAGCUUGUCCCAAGCCCUGUGGCUCCUUCUCUGCUGGUGCUUCAGGCAAGCUGGGACACGGCCACCGCACUGGGGACAUGGCUGUGUCACACACUGAGCUGGGCUGAUCCCUGCCAGUUCCCACAGGAGCUGCAGGCUGGGGAUUUUCCAGAUGGGGAAACUGGUGCAGGGCCAUCCAGCUGUCUCCCACAGGCAGUGUGGGGCAUUCUGUGUGGAUGGAGCAAACUCUCCUUGUGUUCUUUCUGCUGUGCUAUUUCAUUUGCUGUAGACUGCAUUUGCUGUUCACUGGCUCAGAGCAGUUAAGAGCAUCUAAUUUAAGAACUACUACAAUAAAAACAACUUGUGGCAACGACACCAGUUUUAAAAGAAAGCCAGUUGGUGAGUCUUCCUCUUUGACCUGUCUGUUUUGGUAGCAUGAUGAGCAUUAGUCACUUGAAGCAAAAUCCUCUUUGCACUACCAGGUCCUGGGAGAACGGAGUUAGGAGUUGUAGGUAAGGCUGCUUUGGGCUGCCCAAAAAGAUAAUGUGGUGGGUAAGCCUGGUGAGCAUCUGUUUAGAUGGGAUUUACAAAAAUAUGUCCCUAACAGGUCAGAGCAGCCCUAUGGCCAGUCACUGAAAGGCCUGCUGCACUCAGAAAGGGCAGGACCAGGUGUUGGGGACCACAGACAUCCCACCUGGGGUUCCCCUACGUGGAGCUGCUCUGUGCUUGGCUGUGACUCUAACUUGAGUUUUCUGGUGGGAAUAUUGGCCAGGAUUAUUGGGCCUUGCUGCUGGCUCCAUUCAGUGAUCUGAACAGCAGCAAAGCUGUGUCUGAUCUGGAAACAGGUCCCUGAAGGACAGCAUGGUUGCACUUACCUCAUCCUGCAUCACAUCAGACUGCUUGUAGCCUCCAUUCUCGGGCUGUAUUAUGGCUUAUCCCACCCAUCCAUGCCUCCCUUAUUUGAUACCAAGCAAUGGGGUUGUUCUCUCCUGGUCCUGGGCAGAAGGGAACCUCACCCUUGUAGUGUCACCAUCCUUCGAGCACCUUGUUGGUGCUGUUGCUGCUGGCAGACACAUGCACGUGCCUGGUGCUGAGGCACCCUGGGACAAGGGCUGUGAGGUGCUGAGGUAAUUCUCACCAUCAAUAACUGCAGGGGAUGAAUCUCAGAUCACAUCUCUGGGGCAAGGCGAGGGACCUGCAGCUCAUGUAUUCCUGGCACGGGAAUCAAUAAUAAAAUUACAGCCCCUGAAAGUUCAGUGAUAAGCCUGACAGCGAUAGGUGUGGGGAGGGAAUUUCCUACAAACUGCUGACUAUAAACAUGGCUAAUAAUAUUAUUCUGAGAGGAUCUGAUUCAUGAUUUAUUAGACUUGUGUGGAACAGGCCCAUA